UUCCAAAGGAAUCUGGGUGACCGAAAGCAAAGUAAAAAAGGAAUAGGUGCUGUGUCACAGUCCUUAGGGAACUCUGUGAGCAAAAUUUGCUAAGACCUAUUGAAUGUUUCAAAUAAAAGAUCAAAAGGACACCAUAUUCACAGCACAUUAGGCUCAUAGCAGAGUCACUCGAUGCGUGCUUGUUAUUUUUUUUUCUUUCCUUUUGCAGAAAGCAUGCUCGCUUUUAAAUGACCACUGUAUCACUGGGCUUUGGAUAUACAUCAUUCACAUUAUAUAGUGUAUCGGAAAAUAAAGUUUCUCUUCCGACACAUUUGUUCUCAGAAAUGGAGACUGUCCACUUAUUGUGGAUGGACAAAGGGGCUGAAUCACAGAAGGGUAUAAUUUCUAAGGAGAGAGCACUUCGCCACAGAGUAGGAGGAAGGGUAGAAAAUGUUUUCAUAAAAAGCGACUAUUAGGGACAAAUAAGGGCUCUAUUCACCAAACCUGUACAUAUCCCUUUAUCCUUGUAAAACAAGCUAUGAAAGCACAUAAUGACUAACUGCGGCAAAAUUACUCACAUCCUAACUUUGCAUAAUCGCUAAAAUGGUUCUGGUUUUUUAACCCUCCUCCUUCAACAAUUCUGCACUCUUAAAAAAAAGUUUUUUUUUUCAACCACAGCACAAAUGGUUAUAGCAAACGAGUGUACCAGGCACAUCUGCUGUUCCAGAAAGAAUCCACUCUCCUGUGCCAAAUCCACGUCUAUCGGAAGAAAUAAAAAUAAAUUGCGAGCAGGUUCAGCAAAUGCCCAGAUAAAUCCUGCAAUGACCACAUGGAGUAGAUGCAUUUCUGGUAGCUGGUGAUGCCUGAAAAGGGUGAGGCAACAGAGGAGCAAUCUGGAAGCAAAGGUUGCUCGCCCAUCAGUCUUUGUCACUCCCUCCCGGAGCGCGGAGCGGAGACAGCCACCACCAACUGGAAAUCUGAGCAUGGCUUGUGGGACAGAUCACCAUGACUUUGGCCCUGGUACCUAGUGACUGAGCUCUAUGGAACAGCAAAGAGAUGGUGACUAGGCCAAGAGCAAGGUAUCCACACCACUUCUGAUACCCUUUAUCAGCUGAGAUGCAAAUGGCUAACAGAGCUCAAUCGUCUGGACAAUCUCUUCUUCCAGAAGAACCUCCUUCCGAUGGUAAAAUGAAGAGUAAUUUUAUUCUGU